CGUUUCUUCUUUUGAAAAAAAAACGUCGCCCCCCUCAUGUACGCCGCCGCCGCUCAAUCCCUGCCCGCAGUCCCCGCAGCCGCCGCUCCAUCCCCGGCUGCCGCGACGUCCGCUGCGUCGCCCCCGGCGUCACCGAUCCGCGCUGCCUCCUCUGCCCCCGCCACCUCCGCCACUACACCACGAUCUGCUCUGCCCCAAAAUGCUCCGGCCCGAUCUGCUCCGCCCAAACCCAUCCGGUCGCCAACAACUCCAAGAGUGCCGCGAGGUCGUCCUUCCUGCUUCCGCAUCCCUAAGCCCUCUCCCACGAGCGGAUCCCGACGCCCACGCCGCCCACGCUGCGGUCCGGGGACCCGCCGCCGCAGGUGCAGGAGGCCGCCGCUAGGGUGCGAGUGCAGGGGGCUGCUGCCGCCGCCGAUCCAGGGGCCGACCCAACGCCGCAGCAGGACCACGCAGCUACAAGAUCAAAUCUUAAAAAUUGACGCCGACAGCAACGACAUGAAGGUCAAGGGCGCACGGAGGUGGUGACAGCGGGCCACGUGCUCCUUGAGAAGUUCAGGCACACCGUUCACUUCCUGAUGAUCACCAUGUACUCCUACCUCAGUGAUCAUCUUGCUGCACGCAGGGUGUUCGAUGGAAUUCCCCACCGGAAUGUCUUCUAAUGGAACUCUAUGAUGAAGGCAUACGAGCAGGAAAGGAUGAUGGCUGAGGUGGAAGGGAUGUUCCGGCCGGUUGAUGGUUUCAGAGGGUGGCAGUGGCGCACAACGGGGUGGCAGUGGCAGUUGUGCUCACAUUGUGCAGGGAUGCCAGCAAUAUGGUUAUAGCCUUAUAGGGGUGUUCUCUCUUUUCCUCCUCCAAUUGACAGGUAAAGUAGAGCUAUGUUAUUCUUAUUGCCAUGUGUAUGCCUAGCACAUAUUCUUAUUGCCAUAUGUAUGCCUAGCACAUAUUGAUGUACGGAUGAACCAACAAACAAUUAGUUGCAUGUACAACUUUUCUUUUCUUUUGCCUGCUUGAUUGCGGCAUUAAUGCAAAAUUGGUAUCAUACCUAUAUAAUAAUCCAUGUCAGUUCUUUUAAAUCAAUAAACUCUGGAUGUUGGCCCAUGCCUAUUUGUUAUCGUAAAUUAAUCAACUAUGGCUUUGAUGAUGGAAACUCUUGGAAAGAUGCAUUGCAAGGUUACAACAAUCCAGCUAGCUAUCUAAAUUUCUCUCUGCUUUUAUUUUGUUUUCUUCCAAAUCACUAGCUCAGAAAAUCAUUCCAAGUGUUACUUCGAUCGAUAUUGAGAUUUCAAGAGGAUAAAAAAACUGAAGUUUUGGCUCCUGGAUUGUGUACUUAUUGAAAGUGAUACAAACUUUAGUUUCUGCAAUAUGACCGAAUUGGAGAUGUAUGCCAACUCAGAACAUCUUGUCUCUGCUUGUAGGUCAGAUUUGGAUAUUACUUCUGAAUUUGGAUUUUAUCACUUCACUUCUGAAUUUCAAUUUAAAUGGCUGAUCUCAUGUGGUCGGUGGAGAUGGAAAUCAUUUAUACUCCAAACCUAUUGGACACUACGCAUUGGUGAUUGAAGCCUCUAGAAUGGACGGCUCAAUCUGAAUUGACUCUAAAGCUCAAGCAUCAGAAGCAAGUUUGUACGCCUUCAUUCAUGGUGAAGAUUGCUGCUUGAUGUUUGAAAGUUUGCAAUCGCCGGAGCUCAGUACCGGUGCAGCACGCUGGAAACAAAACUGGAAGUAGCAAUAGCCAUGUUAGAAUACGUGUGUGUGUGUGUGUGUGAAUGGGUCUCUCCCUGUUCCCUGUGCAGCCCCCCAGUUCCUUGUGCUAGUUUAAUUCCCGGCCAGACCUCUCCUGGUAGGGUGUUCACACCAUGGACCCUUGGUCCCUUAGGCUUAUAUAUAUGUAAUCUCACUGUAAUCCUUAUUCAUUGAGAAUCAACACUCUUUCAUGGUAUCA